rnacentral:rRNA from 1 species
CCUACGGGUGGCAGCAGUGAGGAAUAUUGGUCAAUGGGCGCGAGCCUGAACCAGCCAAGUCGCGUGAGGGAAGACGGCCCUAAGGGUUGUAAACCUCUUUUGCCGGGGAGCAACGGCCGCCACGUGUGGCGCGACUGGGAGUACCCGGAGAAAAAGCAUCGGCUAACUCCGUGCCAGCAGCCGCGGUAAUACGGAGGAUGCGAGCGUUAUCCGGAUUUAUUGGGUUUAAGGGGUGCGUAGGCGGAGCGUUAAGUCAGUGGUCAAAUUGAGGGGCUCAACCCCUUCCCGCCAUUGAAACUGGCGCUCUCGAGUGGAAGAGAAGUAUGCGGAAUGCGCGGUGUAGCGGUGAAAUGCAUAGAUAUCACGCAGAACCCCGAUUGCGAAGGCAGCAUGCCGGCUUCCUACUGACGCUGAAGCACGAAAGCGUGGGUAUCGAACAGGAUUAGAUACCCCGGUAGUC